GUGAAAGGCCAAUCAAACUUCGUGAUAGCUGGUUCUCUCCGAAAUAUAUUUAGGUAUAGCGUUGUGUCGUAAUAUAAGGGGGUAGAGCACUGAAUGGGCUAGGGCAUACACCAAUGUACCAAACCCUAUCAAACUCCGAAUACCUUAUAUGUAAUCACAGCAGUCAGGCGGCGAGUGAUAAAAUCCGUCGUCAAGAGGGAAACAACCCAGACUACCAGCUAAGGUCCCUAAAUCUUACUUAAGUGGAAAACGAUGUGAAGUUACUUAAACAACCAGGAGGUUGGCUUAGAAGCAGCCAUCCUUUAAAGAAAGCGUAAUAGCUCACUGGUCUAGUGAUUUUGCGCGGAAAAUAUAACGGGGCUAAAGUAAGUACCGAAGCUGUAGACUUAGUUUACUAAGUGGUAGGAGAGCGUUCUAUUUGCGUCGAAGGUAUACCGGUAAGGAGUGCUGGAGCGAAUAGAAGUGAGCAUGCAGGCAUGAGUAGCGAUAAUUAAUGUGAGAAUCAUUAACGCCGUAAACCCAAGGUUUCCUACGCGAUGCUCGUCAUCGUAGGGUUAGUCGGGUCCUAAGUCGAGUCCGAAAGGGGUAGACGAUGGCAAAUUGGUUAAUAUUCCAAUACCAACAUUAGUGUGCGAUGGAAGGACGCUUAGGGCUAAGGGGGCUAGCGGAUGGAAGUGCUAGUCUAAGGUCGUAGGAGGUUAUACAGGCAAAUCCGUAUAACAAUACUCCGAGAACUGAAAGGCUUUUUGAAGUCUUCGGAUGGAUAGAAGAACCCCUGAUGCCGUCGAGCCAAGAAAAGUUUCUAAGUUUAGCUAAUGUUGCCCGUACCGUAAACCGACACAGGUGGGUGGGAUGAGUAUUCUAAGGCGCGUGGAAGAACUCUCUUUAAGGAACUCUGCAAAAUAGCACCGUAUCUUCGGUAUAAGGUGUGGUUAGCUUUGUAUUAGGAUUUACUCCGAAAGCAAGGAAACUUACAACAAAGAGUCCCUCCCGACUGUUUACCAAAAACACAGCACUCUGCUAACUCGUAAGAGGAUGUAUAGGGUGUGACGCCUGCCCGGUGCUCGAAGGUUAAUUGAUGGGGUUAGCAUUAGCGAAGCUCUUGAUCGAAGCCCGAGUAAACGGCGGCCGUAACUAUAACGGUCCUAAGGUAGCGAAAUUCCUUGUCGGUUAAAUACCGACCUGCAUGAAUGGCGUAACGAGAUGGGAGCUGUCUCAAAGAGGGAUCCAGUGAAAUUGUAGUGGAGGUGAAAAUUCCUCCUACCCGCGGCAAGACGGAAAGACCCCGUGGACCUUUACUACAGCUUGACACUGCUACUUGGAUAAGAAUGUGCAGGAUAGGUGGGAGGCUUUGAGUAUAUGACGCCAGUUGUAUAUGAGCCAUUGUUGAGAUACCACUCUUUCUUAUUUGGGUAGCUAACCAGCUUGAGUUAUCCUCAAGUGGGACAAUGUCUGGUGGGUAGUUUGACUGGGGCGGUCGCCUCCCAAAUAAUAACGGAGGCUUACAAAGGUUGGCUCAGAACGGUUGGAAAUCGUUCGUAGAGUAUAAAGGUAUAAGCCAGCUUAACUGCAAGACAUACAAGUCAAGCAGAGACGAAAGUCGGUCUUAGUGAUCCGGUGGUUCUGUGUGGAAGGGCCAUCGCUCAAAGGAUAAAAGGUACCCCGGGGAUAACAGGCUGAUCUCCCCCAAGAGCUCACAUCGACGGGGAGGUUUGGCACCUCGAUGUCGGCUCAUCGCAUCCUGGGGCUGGAGCAGGUCCCAAGGGUAUGGCUGUUCGCCAUUUAAAGCGGUACGCGAGCUGGGUUCAGAACGUCGUGAGACAGUUCGGUCCCUAUCUGCCGUGGGCGUAAGAAGAUUGAAGAGAUUUGACCCUAGUACGAGAGGACCGGGUUGAACAAACCACUGGUGUAGCUGUUGUUCUGCCAAGAGCAUCGCAGCGUAGCUAAGUUUGGAAAGGAUAAACGCUGAAAGCAUCUAAGCGUGAAGCCAACUCUAAGAUGAAUCUUCUCUAAGCUCUCUAGAAGACUACUAGUUUGAUAGGCUGGGUGUGUAAUGGAUGAAAGUCCUUUAGCUGACCAGUACUAAUAGAGCGUUUGGCUUAUCUUUAAUAAAGCAU
rnacentral:rRNA from 1 species